UUACAAAGAAAACAGUUUAACAAGUUGAACACGUGCUUUAUUUUGACUUACGCAAUCAGCAUCCCCUUUUUUAAGAAGUACAAAAUAAGACGCAAAACAGUAAAUAUUAUUUCAUUGCAAAUAACUCGAGUACUGCUGUAACGAUAAUUUAGAAUUACUUUAAAAGUUUAAAAGUAAAAACUUAAAUAUUUCCUGUAGAGAAAUAUCGUAUCGUAAUUCCGAAUUCAUUUCGUAUAUUACAAUCAAAUUGAUACAUCCGCGUUUCCGGUUUCUAUUCAGACUCGAAAGAUGCAUGUUGCACAGCAUCAAUUUGUCAGAUAAAGUCAUAAAAAACCUUUUCUUUUGUCAAUGUUUGCUUUACAAAUCUCUCUAACCUUUUACAUAACCCGUACGAAUCGUUUUGUUGUUGCUGCAAAUCAGCCAUACCGGUAAUGGGUUCUGCAUUUGACAGUGUCCAUGAAAAAUAAGCUCCACAUCAUAUGAUUUUUAACCCCAUAACAAUUACCAAAAAUACAAGAAAUGUACAUGGGGACCUUCAUGACAGCUUUUGGUCAUUCUCGACUAAGGGGGACCAUGAAGACUUGGCAUUUGAAUGGUUAAAAACGGCAAUAAAUGAAAAUAUUGAUACUUCUAAUUCUAUAAUGAAAAUUCAAAUAAAUAUAAUUUAAAUAAGCAAUGAUUUAGCAUGUUCACCAUUCCUUGUAUGGAAGGAUAAAAUAAUUCCGAUCGCGCUACAAUGUACAGCGUAGACACGGUUUGUAAUGGUGAAAGUUCCUCAAUCGUUCAAUUUUCAUCCAUGGAGAUCCCUGAAUUUACAAAAGUUGAGUUAUCUUUCUUUCUUUAAAAAAUCUUAUACAAAUAUAUUCUGGGUGUGGGAAUUUCUUGCUGCAUUGAAGACCCAUUGGUGGCUUUCAGCUGUUAUCUACUCUUUGGUUGGGUUGUUGUCUCUUUGACACAGUCCCCAUUUCCAUCUUAAUUCUAUUGUUCUGUCUUGAGUCAAAAUUAUUAUUUUUUACUUUACAAAUGUUAGGUAUAAAGAUUUCUGUGUAAAGCAGAUUCACUAGGGGGUUAGUUAUUGUAUUUUGUGGAUUUUUCUCUGAAGUGCAUCGCUAUUUCUUCAUCCCGUUAGCUUUUUUCAAAUUCAGUAUAUUUUCUUAUAUCACCAACCAUUUUGUCAUAGCAACUCCUUAAAUUAAUUAUAGUAUUUACAUGAAAUUUGGUAAAGGGUUGUGAAUACUUGUACGGGAUAUAAGUUCAUUGAAGUUUUCCAGAUGUGAAAAGUAUUAGUUCUAACUAGCCAUUUAUUCUAUUUUUGAGGCAGGAAUUUUCUAAAUUUGUUUUGCUUACAAGAUUUUGGAA
rnacentral:lncRNA from 1 species